rnacentral:rRNA from 1 species
CAGCACCUCAAGUGGUCGGGAUGAUUAUUGGGCCUAAAGCAUCCGUAGCCGGCUCUGUAAGUUUUCGGUUAAAUCUGUACGCUUAACGUACAGGCUGCCGGGAAUACUGCAGAGCUAGGGAGUGGGAGAGGUAGACGGUACUCGGUAGGAAGGGGUAAAAUCCUUUGAUCUAUUGAUGACCACCUGUGACGAAGGCGGUCUACCAGAACACGUCCGACGGUGAGGGAUGAAAGCUGGGGGAGCAAACCGGAUUAGAUACCCGCGUAGUCC